rnacentral:rRNA from 1 species
CAGGAAAUCUAUCCCUAAGAAACCUAACACAUCCAAUCUUGUCUGAUUUUGGAAGCUGAGCAGGGUGAGUCUACAUUAGUACUGGAAUGGAAGAUCACCAAAGAAUUCCAGGGAUGUCCAAA